rnacentral:misc_RNA from 1 species
GAUGAAGAACGUAGCGAAAUGCGAUAAGUAAUGUGAAUUGCAGAAUUCAGUGAAUCAUCGAAUCUUUGAACGCACAUUGCGCCCGCCAGUAUUCUGGCGGGCAUGCCUGUUCGAGCGUCAUUUCAACCAUCAAGCCCCCGGGCUUGUGUUGGGGACCUGCGGCUGCCGCAGGCCCUGAAAACCAGUGGCGGGCUCGCUAGUCACUCCGAGCGUAGUAGUUACAUCUCGCUCAGGGCGUGCUGCGGGUUCCGGCCGUUAAAAGCCUUUUACCCCAAGGUUGACCUCGGAUCAGGUAGGAAGACCCGCUGAACUUAAGAAUAUCAAUAAGCGGAGGA